CCCCCUCCCGCCCCCUGAAAGGUCCCUUUUUGGAAUAUCUGCACUGUGCCAGGACCAGCACUGCCAGGAAGAGUGCAGGACAAUUUGUUUUCUUGUUUUCUGUUUGGGAGACUCGUCUGCACUGGUCGGUUCUCUCUCAGGUCACAGGGGACCAAACCAUUGGGCUUGUCAGCGAGUCCUUCCAUACCUGGUGUGUACAGCUCAGGGUCUUCCUUCGUUCCCUCAACCACAUGUUGGUGGCAUGUGCUGGGCCGUAGGGGCCAGCACGUUUACUAAGGGGGCCCAUGGUGGGGAGGGGUGGUGUAUCCUGGGCUGUGGGAUCAGACAGAAUGGGGUUUAAAUGUCUUGUCUUUCAUUUCCUAAAAAUCUGAUCUCGUACUUGGCCCUCAGCUUUUCUGAGCCUCAGUCUCCUCGUCUGUAAGAUGGGGAGAAAGAUGGCUUCUGCAGGUGCGGUUGUGCUGACUAGGUUAGUCAGUCAUUGGUCGUUAGCCCCCUCCCUGCCUGGGAGAUGAGACAGCAUGGGAGGGCCCCUCGGAGAUCAUCGUAAGGGAGCAGGAGGGAAAAGGUGCAGGCAGUGAGGCCUCCAGGGACUGUAGGAAUGUUCUAGAAGGAGGUAGGUGAAAGCCUCACAGGUGUGGUCAAGAGCAUGACUAAACAAGGCAGGAAACCAGGGGCAGGUUGGAGACGGGCGACUAGUUGAGGCCAGAUGGUCUAGAUGAAGCUGAGGAGAGGGUAGCUGAAUCCAGGGGACUAGUAGAGGCCAGGGGCUAGUAGGACUGCUUUAGCUACACAGACCAGAGCUGCUCAGAUUGCCUGAGCCAGUGGGAGCGGACGUGGCAAGUCUUGGAAAGGCACCCAGCCGCAGCUCAAGGGCAGUGCCCGCCAGCGCUCCUUGCCGUUCGGGACGUGUUGCCAGUUCCAGUCACCACACAACAGCCCAUGACCAAUGGCAGUUCUGGAUGCGCCUGUCCCACGUGAGACCCAGCUCCGGCACCUCUGUUUCUCCCUCCAUCGGCUUCUUCUUCCUACUUCCCUAAGCAAGUAAAUGACUCCGAGCCUGUGCUGCAUCCUGCAGGGACUGGGGGGCCACAGGGACUCGAGCAGACAGUGAUGUGCUGCCCAUGUGUUUAGGAAGGUCAAGAAUAGGCUGAGGCACCUGGUGCGAAAGGUACAGGUGCCCACCUGAACUUGCGCCACCUUGAAUGAAGCGCUGGCCUCAGCCUAGCCGGGAGGAGGAGGAGGAGCUGGAUGACUGUGAGUGACAGGCAGAGACCUCCCACCUGCAGCCGACAGUGGCCCUGUGAAGGAGGGGGUAGGGGUGGAGGGGCACACAGAAGAGCCGCCCUCUGCAUUACACGGAAUCGUGUUUUACUGCAUGGGAUGCAAAUUCAAUUUUCCUACCUAAUUUUGAGCAUAUCCCCAGAAACGGUUUGUCUUGCUUUAGUUAUUUUAAAAUAGUGUUCAGUUCCGGUGGCUAAAAGCACAAAUCCUGGAGCCGGAUUGCCUAAAUGCCCUCAAAAGGUGCCAGGCUCCAUGCCAGGCUGUGAACACCCGGGAGGAAUAAGGCAAUACCCCCAUCUUCCACAAGAGGCAAACACCCAGCUAACAGUUCUGUGGCCACGUGCCUCAGCUGCUACAAAGGCCACUUAUGUAGAAGCUCCUAUAAGUUUUUGCCGUUCACAACACCCUCUUCUGGGUGACUCCUUCAUGCUUGGGUUCUUGGGCCAGGUCCUGGCUCCAAAUCUGAAAAGCUGCAUGGCCUUAGCCUGGUCACUCCCUCAGGACGCGCCCAUGAUGCCUGGGAUGCCCUGUGUCUGCCAGAAAUGACGUAGGCACUAGGCACCAACCAGCCCAAGCUGCCAAGCCCAGCCCCGGCUCCAGCACCUGGUGCCAGCAAGGCUCCAUAAGCACCAGUCUUCUCGCUCCUUCCCCUGGUCCUCCUAUGCUUUCCCAAUCCUGCUUGGCCAUGGAUGGACUAGAACAAAGCAACAGCAGACCUGGCUCAAGCAAGUUCCAAUUUUCAGGUUAACUCCUGGAAGAAGGAACCCAUCCAGAACUAAAAAUAAAGAAAAAGGCUUCUCACCACUGGGCAAAGUUUCUCAGCCUCGGCAUUAUUGACAUUCGGGGCUAGACCAUUCUUUGCGGCAGGGCUGUCCCGAGCAUCAUAGGAUGUUGAGCAGCAUCCCUGGCCUCUGCCCACUAGAUGCCAGUACACCCCCCAGACAUUGCCAAAUGCCCCAAUGGGGGAGGGGGAGGGGAAAAUGACCCCCGGAAAUGAAUAACUGCCAUACUACACCUCCCCUGAGAAAGAGCUAUUCAUUCUCGAAGGAGAUAAGGAUCCUAAUUUCAACGCCUAACAACAGCAGCCAAAAGCAGGAAACAGGGAGGAAGAAGGUGCUCCCCACACAUCUGUAGAAACAUCGCCAGGCCUGUUAGGCUCCUUCCAUUUCAAGGGACAAAGAUGUGGGGCAUCACCUCAGGGAAUAGGGUCUGUCACCAGGGUGCACGGGAGUGAGGAUGUUGCACAGUCCUGCCUCAGGGGAACGGCAAUAACGCCCCCUCAGCAGUCAGGGUACAGAAGGCCCUCAUACGCUCAGAGUCAGCCCGGGGCCCCCGUCUCAAGAUCCCAUCAGAAGCCAGCGUUUCUUCCUCCCUCCGUGAUAGACCCACCAUCUUCACCACUCUGCUGCCUCUUGUCCCUACUUGGUCCACAGUCCUGGCCCUUUUGUGAGAUGUCCUACAUUUAAAACUCCCAGGAGGUCAAUUUGGGCUUGGGUAGUUUCCACCUGUCUUAUUAGUUUGGGCUCCCCAGAAACAGACUCUGAGACAAAGACUCAAGUGCAAAGAAAGUGUUUGGAAGUAACUCCAGGAAACACUAGUAAGGGAGCAGGGAAUUGAGACCAGGAGAGGAAGGAAGCCAAGAAAGGAUGCGCCAGGAGCAGGGUGCUGUGGUGACCAACUGGGGCUUAAUCGGUGGAUGCCAGUGUGGAGCACAUGCCUGCGUUGUUCCAUCCAGAGAGGACAGAGCGGGUGCUUACCCACCAGCUCGCACGAGCCCCAGUGAAGGGCUACCUCUGGGAGGCAUUCAUUCCUCAGCUCUUCCGACUUAUGCAGCACAGACAACUCCAGCGGCCAGAGAGAGCUCUCAGGCCCGAAGAGCCACACGUGGGAGGUGGGACUGACAGGAAUGGCAUGG
rnacentral:lncRNA from 1 species